UCACAGUUUUGAUUCUGGAAAUUAAAUUUGCAAAGAUUUUUUCACGAGUGAUUAAUGUUUGCAAAACACCGAAGGUUUUUUUCAGUGUUGAACCGCUUCGCAAUUCGCGUACACUGUGGCCGGCCUUCAAAAACGAACUUGCGAAAUUCAUCCGGUGAAUGAAUAUUUCGCUUCGCAGUUCGCUUCGCGCUCACUGUGUUCGUGAUUCCGAAAAACUCCGGGAAUUGGACCGGAAAAACCUUGACAGCACUGAAAGAUUUUCACACCGAGGCCGACAACAAAGAGAGCGAUAAAGCUCGACAAACUCCAUCAUCCGACCGGACAAAAAUCGGAGCAGUUCCAGCGGAAACAAGGUGAACACUCCGCCGGAACAACCAGCACCACAUCAUCAAGAGUCACAGCAGUAAACAUACUUGGCGGAAAAAAAACAUCGUUCAAAUUGUGUUUUGUUCAAGUGAGCAGAACACACGACUUCCUGGAUCGCACCAAAAGUAACCUCCGAUGGCCCCUAAAUAUUCUUCCGAGGAGCACCACGGGCUACGAAAUCAGAAGAAUCGGACAGAAGAAAAAGCAAUGCCUUUACGGAAAACCCGAACGUUAGGAAUUCCGUGAAAAAGUGCGGAUAAAAUGGUUUUGUUCAUUCUCCCGAAGUUACCAUCUGUUGACGGUUGCAUUUCGCCGGAUCAGCAGAGUCGGGUAAAAAAGCUCUUACCAUUCAAGGUGAUCAGUGGUUCAAGAGUCCCCGGAAUAAAGCUUCAAUGGUUCCGAAGACUAUCGCG